CUCAGGAAGAAGGUGUGCAGUCAUGUCUGUGGCAGCCCUGUGGAAACAGCAAAGAACUACACGAGUGUCAGCUCCCAACUGAGCCAGGAUGGCAAAGAUGGUGGCCUCACAAGAUGGCGGUGGCCUGGGUCCCUGAAGCACCACUCAGAGCAGAGCUGCUCAGAAGAUCACUGCGCUGCCUUGGACAGUAGGAGGCUGCAGGACAACUGCUUUGCCGGCAAGGGCAAGUUUGCCUCCAGGCUUAGAGGGUGGAGCGGACAUGGACACGUGGACAGCCCGGGAUGGAGGGCCACAGGCCAUCUCAUCAUAAAAGCCCUUUGCUAAGUUCAGAAAAUCACCUACAUUCCCUGUCCUAGUCAACUCAGUCUCUUAUAAACCCCACAGUACCUGAUUCCCCAAGAUUUCAAUGUGCUCCCCGCCUGGGUGCUAGGGCCACCCCAGCCACGUUUCCGCCCAGGAGCCUAAAGACCUGGUCACAGAUUUGACUCCUUUUAUUGCACAACAGUUGGGCAUUUUCAAAUCAAAUAGAGUCAAUCCAUUCACUUAACACUCAGCAAAUAUUUGCCCGCUGCUACUGUUUGCUUAAGGGACUUGACAAAAAGGAAAAGGCAAAGCGGUAGGGUGAGAAAAUGACGAGGUUGUAUUAGGGUGAGAGCAGGUUUUCCUGUCGGGUUUUUACUUGCUCCGUCCAAGUUAGGUAGGGAUUUGGAAUUCGGAUUUCAAAUUUGAAAGGAAGUGUCAUUUCUUGCUGAAUGAGAAGUAGCAUUCUGAGCAGCAUGUUAAAUGCUCACGGAGCAAGAUGAUCCGCAUUCAACCUGCAGAUUUUCCUUAGAUGCCUCUAGAAUUCUGACUCACCCAGGGGCUUCUUCCUAGUCGUGGUGGUUAGGAUGACAAUGCGGAUGAUGAGCACCUUCUCUGUGCCAGGCACCCAGCUAAGUGCUUUCUGCACAUGCUGUCCAAACCGAACUGCCUAAUCCUACAAAUCGAGUAUUGUACACUUGAGGAGGUUAGGAUUCAGAGAGGCUGAUGCAUUUGUCCAAGGCCACAUGGCCACGUAGGGGCAGAGCCAGGAUCUGAAUUGGGGUCUUCUUGUCUCUAAAAAUUAGGACCAUUCGCUGUCAUGCCCACUUCAAAAUGGGAAGGAAAUUUCAGGUACAUUAACAAAAGUGUGUGCUAAAUGGGGGUCCUCAAACUUUAGCACGCACCAAAGUCACUGGGAGGGCUUAUUACAAUACAGGUAGUUGGGGGGCGCCUGGGUGGCUCAGUGGGUUGAGCGUCCAACUUCGGUCCAGGUCCUGAUCUCACCGUUUGGUUUGUGAGUUCAAGCACUACACCCGGCUCCCUGUACUCAGCACAAAGCCUGCUGUGGAUGCUGUGUUCCCAUAUGUGUCUGCCCCUGCCCUGCUCUUCUUCUGUCUCUCCAAAAUAAACAUUAAGUGUGUG